UUUGUUUGUCUGUCUAGCCUACUAUAGAGGCCUCUGGCACAUCUAUGGACUCACUAGGGUAGGUGGUGCACUACAUGGGGGGCAAGGUUUUUGCUAGCACUGCACUCUGGCCCAGUGGGUGGAGCUCGAUAGUAAUCUUUGCUGCAAGU
rnacentral:snoRNA from 1 species